UCUUCUAGCUUGCUAGAAGUGGAUUAGUGGCGCACGGGUGAGUAAUGCAUAGGUUAUGUGCCCUUUAGUCUGGGAUAGCCACUGGAAACGGUGAUUAAUACUGGAUACUCCCUACGGGGGAAAGUUUUUCGCUAAAGGAUCAGCCUAUGUCCUAUCAGCUUGUUGGUGAGGUAAUGGCUCACCAAGGCUAUGACGGGUAUCCGGCCUGAGAGGGUGAUCGGACACACUGGAACUGAGACACGGUCCAGACUCCUACGGGAGGCAGCAGUAGGGAAUAUUGCUCAAUGGGGGAAACCCUGAAGCAGCAACGCCGCGUGGAGGAUGAAGGUUUUAGGAUUGUAAACUCCUUUUGUUAGAGAAGAUUAUGACGGUAUCUAACGAAUAAGCACCGGCUAACUCCGUGCCAGCAGCCGCGGUAAUACGGAGGGUGCAAGCGUUACUCGGAAUCACUGGGCGUAAAGAGUGCGUAGGCGGGGUAAUAAGUCAGAUGUGAAAUCCUGUAGCUUAACUACAGAACUGCAUUUGAAACUGUUACUCUGGAGUGUGGGGGAGGUAGGUGGAAUUCUUGGUGUAGGGGUAAAAUCCGUAGAGAUCAAGAGGAAUACUCAUUGCGAAGGCGACCUGCUGGAACAUUACUGACGCUGAUGCACGAAAGCGUGGGGAGCAAACAGGAUUAGAUACCCUGGUAGUCCACGCCCUAAACGAUGGAUGCUAGUUGUUGCCUUGCUUGUCAGGGCAGUAAUGCAGCUAACGCAUUAAGCAUCCCGCCUGGGGAGUACGGUCGCAAGAUUAAAACUCAAAGGAAUAGACGGGGACCCGCACAAGCGGUGGAGCAUGUGGUUUAAUUCGAAGAUACGCGAAGAACCUUACCUAGGCUUGACAUUGAU
rnacentral:rRNA from 1 species